GCGGAUAUAGCUUAGCUGGUUAAAGCGCCAGAUUGUGGCUCUGGAGACCGUGGGUUCGAGUCCCACUAUUCGCCCCA
rnacentral:tRNA from 1 species